UAUACUAUACUAAUAACAUAAUACACCAUAUAAAAUAUAUUCUACAAUAUACUAAUGACUACUAUACAAGAUAUUGAUUUUAAAAAUAAAAAAAAAUUUCAGAACCACCGGAACCGCCGAACCACCGGAACCGCCAGAACCGGAACCGGAUGGUAGCGGUUCCGGCUCCGGAACCGCCAGAACCGGAACCGCCAAAACCGGAACCGCAGACCCAAAUAGACCCAGAACCGGAACCGGAUACAGCCUUAUUUAGGACGAUCUGUACUUCACAUGAUACACCGCUUAACUGUUUACUAAAAAAAAGGCAAAUACUGGUACUGUUGGCAAGACCAAAAUAACUCUGAUCUUCCAGGACUUGGAACACAGGACUUAUUAAUUCAAUGCAGCAUUUUAUUUUGUGGCAAGUUUCCUCGUGUUCUGUUAAUAAAGUAGUAGUCUGCAAUUCUGUUAGUGUUUCUUAUGAAUUUGUCUUCUCUUACGCAAACAAAUGGUUUUCCGGGACUAAGUUGAAUAUGAAUAAGAUUAGAGAGAUGCUUAGAGGGUGAUAUUGCGAGUCCAUAUGUACAGACAGGAGAAAAAGGAGAAGAAAGAAGUGCUUGGGAAGGUAUGUUUAGUCGACUACAUGUACUUACAAGUUUUUCAUGCACAAGCUGAAAGGUAUUUUCAUUCGAAGUCCCCAACUAAACUUGUUCCCCACUAACCUUUCUGUCCCUUCUCAUUAUUUUGUUGGUUUGACCUAUUUCAUCUCCAAGAAUUUCUUAUUAGAUUAGAGGCGCUUUUUUUUUCUCCGGAAUUUUGAAUGAUUUUGAUAGACAGAAGGUUCCUAAUUAGGGAAAUGAGAAAAAUAGAAGCACCCCCUUAACCUUUUAUAAGAUGUUAAUGGAAUGCAGGACAAAAACAAGAAUGACAA
rnacentral:lncRNA from 1 species